rnacentral:rRNA from 1 species
GACGAACGCUGGCGGCGUGCUUAACACAUGCAAGUCGAACGAUGAAGCCUAGCUUGCUAGGUGGAUUAGUGGCGAACGGGUGAGUAAUACGUGAGUAACCUACCUUUAACUCUGGGAUAAGCCUGGGAAACUGGGUCUAAUACCGGAUACGACCAAUCUCCGCAUGGGGUGUUGGUGGAAAGCGUUAUGUAGUGGUUAUAGAUGGGCUCACGGCCUAUCAGCUUGUUGGUGAGGUAACGGCUCACCAAGGCGACGACGGGUAGCCGGCCUGAGAGGGUGACCGGCCACACUGGGACUGAGACACGGCCCAGACUCCUACGGGAGGCAGCAGUGGGGAAUAUUGCACAAUGGGCGCAAGCCUGAUGCAGCGACGCCGCGUGAGGGAUGACGGCCUUCGGGUUGUAAACCUCUGUUAGCAGGGAAGAAGAGAAAUUGACGGUACCUGCAGAGAAAGCGCCGGCUAACUACGUGCCAGCAGCCGCGGUAAUACGUAGGGCGCGAGCGUUGUCCGGAAUUAUUGGGCGUAAAGAGCUUGUAGGCGGUUUGUCGCGUCUGCUGUGAAAGGCCGGGGCUUAACCCCGUGUAUUGCAGUGGGUACGGGCAGACUAGAGUGCAGUAGGGGAGACUGGAACUCCUGGUGUAGCGGUGGAAUGCGCAGAUAUCAGAAGAACACCGAUGGCGAAGGCAGGUCUCUGGGCUGUAACUGACGCUGAGAAGCGAAAGCAUGGGGAGCGAACAGG